CAGGACCUUCGCACAUGCUGUCCCUCAGCCCUGCAAGAACCAUCUGCUGGAGCCGAGCAGAGGCUGCCUCCUUUGAACGGGACCUGUACCCUCCACUCCCCUACCGCUGCACCACACCAAUCCAUCAUCACACUUAUGAUGUCAUCUUCUCAGAGGCAACCCGUAAACCCCUCGGGGCCCAGAGGCCACGCCUCACUCGACAGCUCGGGAGAGCCGGGCACAGGGGCAGAAGCGACUUGCCGAGGUCAUGCAGUGACAUGGAGCCACAGCCUGGCUUCCUGACACCCCUUCUGCCUUACCAGGCUGAUGCACAGGUUUGCCAUGUGGGAAUUCCCCAGGCCCACCCUGCUGCCAUGCCCUGGUACCCUGUAAUCUGGAGGCAUGUGGGUGCCUGUCACCCAAGCACCCUUUCUGGCACAGCAGGAGGAGAGAGCCAAGCACCCAGGGCAGCCCCCAACCUCAGGGAUCCCCAGCUCCUCCUGUACCCCUUGACCCUCCCACUCCUCCAGGGGCUGCCUCAUGGUUGGUGGGUCCCUGUCCUGCCCUGUCCUAGUGUGGGUCCUUCAGGGAUGGCUGGA
rnacentral:lncRNA from 1 species